rnacentral:misc_RNA from 1 species
UUGAUUGUGAAGAUGCUGAUAAUGCAAAAGAUUUAGAUUUUGAUUAGAUCAUCACUUACAAGUCCCCCAAAGUAAAGGUAUCCCACACAGAAAUCAAAACAUGCUUAUUACAAUAGCAAGGUCAAUCCUGUACAACUGUACAAUAACUUGUGCGGAUCAAAAUGUGAGAAACCAUAUACCUCUGGAUGAAAACUUCCCUGACUUAAUAACCCCGUAGUUGGGCAUCUCGACUUGUUAGAGGAACAUAUCGAACAGAAGUUUCACUCCGGACGCUAAUGGAACCAUCCUGGUUCUUGUCGAUGACUUUCAAAUCCUGGAAUAUGUUACCAACUGGAAUCACCAUUCUGCCACCAGGCUUCAACUGGUCAACAAGUGCGUGUGGGAUCUCUGGUGCAGCUGCACCUACAUGUAUGGCAUCAUACGGUGCAAACUCUGGCCAACCUUGUCUUCCGUCGCCAACAUGCACUGAGAGAGAACCUUCUCUCAGUAAUGGAGCUGCUGCACUUUUUUCAAUAUUCUUGAUUGAAGACGUGACCAGCUCUGGAAUAUGUUCAACGCCAACAGCACGACCUUGUGGGCCAACCAUCACAGCAAAGCAUGCUGUUAAAUACCCAGUCCCUGAGCCAACGUCUAACGCAUGCAUGCCAGGUUUUAAAUGCUCCUCCAACAACUGAAGGCAAGUUGCAUGCAUAUGCGGUGCAGAAAUAGUGGCAUUGUAACCUAUUGCCAUGGGGCUGUCAACAUAAGCUGGAGUUCCAUCUGGUACAAAAAAAGCCCUAUCAAUAGUUUCCAUUACUUCAGCCACCUUUUUUGAGCUCAUCACUCCAUAAUGCUGCAAAUGCUCAACCAUUGCUUUAUUCUUACUGAUGCCACUUCCAGCCCAGAAUCGCUGUAAAUUGUCAAAAGAACUUCAAUUCAAAGUUUGCACAAAAAGAGAAUAAUAAAGCUCAAUCUAAGUAUAAUAGAAUGGAAAAAUAUGAUAUAAUGCAAUUAUAGCCCAAGAAAAGAAAAAGAAAAUGAGACAUGAAACACUAAAUAAAUAAGCACCAUCCUGCUGAAACAAUUUUUACUAUUACUAGUACUGCUUCGGAGCAUGCAUAACCAUAAUCUAAACCGCACAUAAGGAAAAUCACAGAAAUGCAUUAAACUUUGUCUGAAAACAUGGAAUUGAAAUCUUCAAGGUAUGUAUCUUCUCAUGCAUGACCUCUGCAGUAUAGGCAGCUAUGGGUUGAGUUUGAAGGUCAAAGGCCCUUGGGCUCGUGUGGGUAUCAUUUACGAAGCAAUCAACCCCAGUACCAAUGGCUAGCAGUACAUAGUACAACCACCCAACUUGACAUAAAUUUCCCUGAAAAUACACACAUAAAACAACCUAAACAAGACUAGAUUUACCAUGAGUUGAUGUCAGCAGAUUUUUUUUAACCAGCAAGUUUUUGAAAAGCUGUUUUUGACAAUCUUAAUUGCUCACUUUUAUACAACAAACAAAGCCAAUAGAUCCCACAAUCCAUAACUUUAUUUUGAAUAGCUUAUUGAAGAUAUGCGAAGAAAAAACUCGAAAAAACUCCCAAGGAACCCAAUUAUAGCAGAAGUCUCUAAACACGCUUCCAUUGAUAUAUUCAAAUAUAUUCAACCUGCCAUGGUUAAAACCAUUCCUCAAGAGAGCGCAUAUUGUUGGUAAUAAAGCUUCUACUUCAAAAUCACAAGUUCUUAACCUCCAAUCCAUUUCCAAUUUACAUACUCAGCAAAUGUAAUUCAGUAAAGGUCUUUAGAUCAGCGGUUGAACUAGCCCCUCUCGCUAUAAACGUCAAUCUCCCAAAAUUAUUCCCUUGCCCAUGAAUUAUACUUCCAAUUAUGAAGAACCCAACAGGUAAGCCAUCAUAGUAACUGGACUAGCCUAUUUGAUGCACUUUAAAUCCAAAAACAAGCCUUACCUAUGUCCAAUUAGCGCCAUAAACAGUUGAUUAAAGUGAACACAAGGUAAAGAAAAAAAACACAAAAGAGUCCUAGAGAUUUCGCUUACUUUGCACCUGAUUUCUCUGCAAUAUAACUGAUCAUGAUAACAGAAUCAAGCACAACAAUACAUGAAAUCAAAAUCCAACUAUAAUUUACCAAAAUAAAACCCGAAACAUCCUUCUCUUAACGGUGGAAAAAGAGAGAAAAAGAGAGAGAGAGAAAGA